rnacentral:rRNA from 1 species
UACGUAGGUGGCAAGCGUUGUCCGGAUUUGCUGGGCGUAAAGGGAGCGUAGGCGGACUUUUAAGUGAGAUGUGAAAUACCCGGGCUCAACUUGGGUGCUGCAUUUCAAACUGGAAGUCUAGAGUGCAGGAGAGGAGAAUGGAAUUCCUAGUGUAGCGGUGAAAUGCGUAGAGAUUAGGAAGAACACCAGUGGCGAAGGCGAUUCUCUGGACUGUAACUGACGCUGAGGCUCGAAAGCGUGGGGAGCAAACAGGAUUAGAUA